GCGACGAUCAGUAGGGGUUCUGAGAGGAAGGUCCCCCACAUUGGAACUGAGACACGGUCCAAACUCCUACGGGAGGCAGCAGUGAGGAAUAUUGGUCAAUGGGCGAGAGCCUGAACCAGCCAAGUAGCGUGCAGGAUGACGGCCCUAUGGGUUGUAAACUGCUUUUGUAGGGGAAUAAAGUGAGCCACGUGUGGUUUUUUGCAUGUACCCUAUGAAUAAGGACCGGCUAAUUCCGUGCCAGCAGCCGCGGUAAUACGGAAGGUCCGGGCGUUAUCCGGAUUUAUUGGGUUUAAAGGGAGCGUAGGCCGGAGAUUAAGCGUGUUGUGAAAUGUAGAUGCUCAACAUCUGCACUGCAGCGCGAACUGGUUUCCUUGAGUACGCAUAAAGUGGGCGGAAUUCGUGGUGUAGCGGUGAAAUGCUUAGAUAUCACGAAGAACUCCGAUUGCGAAGGCAGCUCACUGGGGCGCAACUGACGCUGAAGCUCGAAAGCGCGGGUAUCGAACAGGAUUAGAUACCCUGGUAGUCCGCGCGGUAAACGAUGGAUGCCCGCUGUUGGGCCAACUGGUUCAGCGGCCAAGCGAAAGCAUUAAGCAUCCCACCUGGGGAGUACGCCGGCAACGGUGAAACUCAAAGGAAUUGACGGGGGCCCGCACAAGCGGAGGAACAUGUGGUUUAAUUCGAUGAUACGCGAGGAACCUUACCCGGGCUUGAAUUGCAGAGGAAGGAUUUGGAGACAAUGACGCCCUUCGGGGCCUCUGUGAAGGUGCUGCAUGGUUGUCGUCAGCUCGUGCCGUGAGGUGUCGGCUUAAGUGCCAUAACGAGCGCAACCCCUCUCCAUAGUUGCCAUCAGGUUAAGCUGGGCACUCUGUGGACACUGCCACCGUAAGGUGUGAGGAAGGUGGGGAUGACGUCAAAUCAGCACGGCCCUUACGUCCGGGGCUACACACGUGUUACAAUGGCAGGUACAGAGAGCCGGUCGUAUGCAAAUACGAUCCAAUCCUUAAAGCCUGUCUCAGUUCGGACUGGGGUCUGCAACCCGACCCCACGAAGCUGGAUUCGCUAGUAAUCGCGCAUCAGCCAUGGCGCGGUGAAUACGUUCCCGGGCCUUGUACACACCGCCCGUCAAGCCAUGAAAGCCGGGGGCGCCUGAAGUCCGUGACCGCAAGGAGCGGCCUAGGGCGAAACUGGUAAUUGGGGCUAAGUCGUAACAAGGUA
rnacentral:rRNA from 1 species